ACAGGCGGGUGCUAAUUUGCUUUGAAAAUAAAGGCAGCAAUGGCCAUGAAUGCUGCUGACACAGGAAUCUAAUGCACUAAAUAGACUGGAAGUUUUUGUGGCUGCUGGGAUUCCACUUUGCCUUCAGUGACAGCAGGGUCUGCAGGGGCCCAGACUUGAGGCUGUAUUUCGAGAAAUAAAUACAUAUAUAAAUAAAGCAGAUUUAGUGCGGGUGGAAAGCAGGAGUUCAGCCUCCCUCGAGAGCAUCCUGUGAACCCACAGAACUAAUUAAUGCAUACCACCAGUGACAGACUUAUCUCACCACCUUUGGAAAGGGAGGUAGUGUGGUCAUCAAAGUCUUGUAAGUGCUAGUUAUGGGGAUAGCCUGUCAGUCUAGGCUCCAUAUGCCAAUUUAACUUCUCAUUGUGUAUCAUUUGGGCACCAAGGACCAAAAACUCAAGCUGGCUAGAGGUAUGCAGUGCCAUCUCCAUUUGAAGACAGGCUUUCUGCGACAGCUUUACUGAGUAUUCCUAAUGACAGUUUAACACUUCUGAUAAAAUACAAGUCCAUCCUGGCACUUACUGACAGCACGCUCAGUAGAUCUGAACCCUCUAACUUUCCUAAACAGAGCUCAUUGGAAAAAGAGCUGAAGUUUUAUAACCAUUCUGUUUCUUAAUUAAGAAGUGCCUAAAUAGGCGAAAUCACCAAAGGGACUUAUGUAAGCAGUCAUAUUCCGUUAACCUUAGUGCAACCUUUUAAUGGAAUAAUUAAAACUAAUCCCUUGGAUUUAGAGUAGCAUGAAAAAGAACAAGAGCAGAUUAAUUAGUAGAUUUGGUUGGGCUCUUAAGGGGCAUCAAACAGCUGACAGACAGGCCACUUGGUUCAGGAUGGUGGAAUGUUCUCAGACGAGGGGCAGUGGUGAUGAACAAGGCUCCAAGCAUUCAUGCCUAACCAAGCAUGAGGAGCAAACUGUUGGUGCACACAAUGAGGUUCUAUUUUUCUCUUGGGCUGUUGAGAAGGGGGCAGGGGUGUUUGUUCACAUGGUACAGGUAAGUGCAGUUACUUCAAGCGUGCAGAAUAAUAGUCAAAUUAUUUCCAUUGUUGUCCCCUGCCUGCCUGACAUUUCAGUGUUAAGACUGGCUUAAAACUGCUCUUUGUACCUGGUGCUUUUACACCCCACUUUUUUUCCUUGAAAGGUAGUGUGUGUGGUUACCAUAGAGAAACUGCAGAUUAUAUGUGGGUUAUAAAUGCAUUAGAUUAACAGGAGCAGAACAGAUUACAUCUAAGAACAGAGUAGAAGUUCCGAAGUUUUAAAUCUUACCGCCUUGCAUUAUUGUGAUGGACUUGGCAGGAACACUACACCAGCACUAGCAAUGCAAAGGUCUGGAAUGGGCAGACCCUCAGAGAACUCCAGAAGCAAGUUUUCCAGCUGGGAGACUUGGUUAGUAUCUCUGAAUAGAUGUACCCCCAGGCAGUGCCACUUAUUUGGAAUGCACGUUUUAUCAAGAACCUCAUAUCUAUGAUCCAGCAUGAAUAUGUUACAAAAUACAAACCAGUCUGUAAGGGAGCGCUCUGAUUUGGCAUUCAUAUAAAUUACUACUUGUGCUAGAUUGUGUGGUCUUGGCUUAUAGUAGAGAGCAUUUCUGCUCAUUGGAGUCAGUGAAAUUACUUGUGAGCACGUGCUUGUCAACAUGAGUAAAGGUGGCAGAGGUCAGACCCUCGUUAAUAAUAUUUGCCCGGUGGAAUUCUGGAUGCUCUUAAUUAGUUUUCCUUUAAACUCAUUCUGAAUAGAACAGACAGAUCUGUAUUGUGGAAGAUGCUGCUGUAGGUUGCUAAUGCAAACAGUUUAGGUUACAAAAUAGCAAAAAUUAAAAUAAAUAGCAGUGACUGCCACAGGGGAAAUGCCCGAGUUGGUGUCUUCUGGUGUAUUCCUCUGUGGUAAUUGACCUAACCAAAAAUUACCACCAGAAAACAAUUUUUUAUAUAAAACGGUGGAUUUAACUAUUGCUGUCCUUAAUUUUUGUACGUUCUUUUAUGACAGUUGCAUAUGGGCUCAGGCUCAUAUAUGACUGCAUUUAAAAAUAUUGAUUGCUUUACAUUAACAUCUCCCACAUCAUACACUGGCAUAUCUACAGAUACCUUGAUUGUACUAAAGUAUUGAAAGGCAGAUGAAAAUUGUAGCUUGAAGGAAAAAUCCUUGAUUGAAUCCUUGACAUUCAGGCGAUAAGGAAAUAUUACUGCAACUAUUAUCCUUCCCUCCCUCCCCAGCUGAAGCAUCUAAUCCUGGUCCAUACCACAGACACCAUAUUGCUUUUAUCAUUUAUUCUUCUGCUCAAGUAGGGACACAAAUGUUGUUCAAGGGUCAGACAGAAAUCUGAUUAGCUGGUAACAAGAUUUGUGAGCAGAAUGCUCGCACUUCACUCUGGAAAUAUGGUCCAUCUUGGCUGGCAGCUCUGUGCUACAAUCUAUAUGUAAUCUUUCAGUAUGCUAAUGUUAUUACAAACCUGUCACUCAGUAAGGUGAACAUGACUAGCAUAUUGCUUAAUUGACUUAAACAAGCCAACUCACUUCAGGAGUUGCUCCCUGUUUCUGGUAAAGGACUCAUCUCACAUGAGCAUUAGCCAGAUUGUCAGUCAUGCUUUCCUAAAUAUUGGUUCAAAGAACUGCACCUUGGAGCUUCUGGGUUUGGUUUGUGGCUCUGCCAGUGACAUUGGCCGUGGACAGGUUUUUCUUCCUGUCUUGUAGCUGUCGUUUUCCUGUUCGUCAUGUCGAGGCUUAAUGUUUGUGAAGCAGUA